rnacentral:rRNA from 1 species
AUGUACUGCGCUGGAGUACCCGUUCCGUUGGAACCCAUCAUCCGGCACGAUUCCUUUAGAGCAUCUACAGCUCAGCGCCUCAAACCUGCCUCAAAUGCUUGGACAUGCUUUAUUUGUAAUGCCGGGUUCUCACAACGACAUCAUCGUGCUUCAACGAUCUCUGGUAUUCAGGAGGCUUUGCAAUGGGAAUCACCGCGUGCAACUACACUAUCAACGGCCGUGACUACAACAUGGGAUACGGCCUUGCCGAUGGCAUGUAUCCUCGGUGGCGGCGUUUGUGAAGACCAUAUCGAAACCAUAGGCAGGAAACAAAACCACUUUGCAACAAUGCAGGAAGCAGCGAGGAAGGAUGUGAAGAGGGCAUUCAGAGUGCUUCAAGCUCGUUGGAGAAUUGUUCAUGGAGCUGCAAUAAUGUGGGAAUCAGAAACUUUGUGGUAG